CGGGGAAACUCAGAAGGCCCUGUUUCUGUGCUCUACCAUGUUUACUGGAUUUCCGGUUUCAGAAAAAAGAGGAGUGUUAAGAGAAGGGAGACUUCUGCCA